rnacentral:rRNA from 1 species
UACGUAGGGACCAAGCGUUGUCCGGAAUCAUUGGGCGUAAAGAGCGUGUAGGCGGCUUGUUAAGUCUUGCGUGAAAUCUCGGGGCUCAACCCCGAGCGGUCGUGAGAAACUGGCAGGCUAGAGUGCGGGAGAGGAGAGUGGAAUUCCUGGUGUAGCGGUGAAAUGCGCAGAUAUCAGGAAGAACACCCGUGGCGAAGGCGGCCCUCUGGAACGCAACUGACGCUGAGACGCGAAUGCGUGGGGAGCAAACAGG